AUUGAACGCUGGCGGCAGGCCUAACACAUGCAAGUCGAACGAGUGGCGGACGGGUGAGUAAUGUCUGGGAAACUGCCUGAUGGAGGGGGAUAACUACUGGAAACGGUAGCUAAUACCGCAUACCAUCAGAUGUGCCCAGAUGGGAUUAGCUAGUGGGUGGGGUAACGGCUCACCCAGGCGACGAUCCCUAGCUGGUCUUAGAGGAUGACCAGCCACACUGGAACUGAGACACGGUCCAGACGCCUACGGUAGGCAGCAGUGGGGAAUAUUGCACGAUGGGCGCAAGCCGGAGGCAGCCAUGCAGCGUGUAUGAAGAAGGCCUUCGGGUUGUAAAGUACUUUCAGCGGGGAGGCGUUACCCGCAGAAGAAGCACCGGCUAACUCCGUGCCAGCCGCCGCGGUAAUAC
rnacentral:rRNA from 1 species